rnacentral:lncRNA from 1 species
AUGAAGGUGUUGUGGGACUUGAAAAAAAACUUCAGGAGUGCCGUUUUAACAGGAUUCAACCUCAGACAUACCGAAAAAUUUUGGAAGAUCUGCAAGAAAGAUGCAGCUUUACAGACUGGCCAUGUCUUCCUACAAGAGGUGCUUUCUGACACAGAGGAGAAAACAUUCAAUGAGAAAAAGAAGGAGCUCAACAGAAAGUACAGGGAUAAAUGCAAACAAUUUCAUGGCUUUAACAUAAUGCAAACUAAUUUCUCUCAGGCUUACAUCAAGGAGGCGUGCUCUGUUUUCAAAAGCAUCAAAAAUAAAAAUAAAACUCAGGAGACCCAGCUUGCUGCCUUCCUAUCCCUGCUGAAUGCCUAUGUACCAGGCUCAUAUCUCUGGGAGUCUCAGUGCCUGGACUUCUUCAAAAAAGGAUGCUUGCCACUGGAGGACAGAAUGGAGCCCUUUAGCCAUCUCAUCAUCACCUUCCAACAAGAUGGUUCUGAAAGAAAAGUCUGCAUGGCUCACCCAUUGAUAGCAAAGUGUUGCACUGAAGUGAUGGCUGAGGCAGGUGUGACCCGAAGUGACACAGCAAGAAACUUCUUGACCUCUUUGUGCAAAGACGAGGUUCCUCUGUAUUUGGAUUGGUUUCGUCAACAAAAUGAGCGAGAAAUGUUUUCUAGACUGAUUCUAGAUAUUCAAAGAAAGGAGGGUGAGGAACAGAGUGCAUCAGUUUUAAAGGUGGCAACAAAUACAUUUGAUAAAAAUCCAUUUUUUCCACAAGCACUUGCUCGCUUUUACUACAUAGAACUGAAAGGACUAUGCUCAGGCAGAAAUGUGGGCAAAGAAAGCAAAGCAGGAGAGAUCCCCAAAAUUCCUUCUGUUGCUGAUACACUGGGCCAAGUCCAUAAGAACCAUCUGAAGAACAAAAUACGUCCUGUUGAACCAAGAGAAAUUUUGAAACUUGCAUCAGAGGCCAUUAAAGCUUUCAAAGACGAAGAAAGACUUGCUGAAAAUGAACUUGGGACAGACAUGAAAAAAGAUGGCAAGAACAAUGUCUCACCUGCUUUUCACCACCAGAGGGAUGGUUGGUUAUCUGGCAGGUUUGCAACCUUGUGUACGACCUACUUGUCAAAAGUGUCCUUGAGCUCUGUCCUGAAAUCACUUGGAGACGACAGACUUUUAGGAUUCAACGAUCUCAUAAACAGCCUCAGAGAUGAGGUUGAGAGAAAAUAUGCUUUUUUUGAUAAAUAUCUGACUUACUCAAAGAUUAGCAUGAAAAAAGAUGAUCCCGCUUACAUUUCUAAAGUCACCUCAGAGUGCUACAGGAAGUAUGUUGAAGCCCCACCAGAUGCUGUUCUCCACCAGAAGCUUAAACUAAAACAGGCUGACACCACUACUGGAGUACUCUCAUGUCUUGACAGAGAAUGCACAGAAUCAGACCUUAAAGAAAUAACUGCAUGUUGGGAACAAACAUUUCUACACAAAGGUUCGGACACAGCUCUGGUCAACUACAUCUUCUCUCAUAUCAUGUUAAGAAAUAAGGGAGCAAUCUCUCCUCUUGAUAGCAAGCAUUUAACUGCAUUUAAACAGAACACGCCCCCAGUCUCCACAGAGUCACCUGAGCCCUACAUGUUAGCCCUCCUCUUGCACUGGCCUACAGAGAGUGAGGACAACUGUGUCUUUAACCUCAGUCAAUUAAUAGAGCGUAUGAAAAACAUGUAUGAAAAAGCACAUAAGAAACACCUUCGAUCAAGGUACCUCCGGCCUCUGUUUUUCAUUGGAAAAGGUCAAGAUCUGGACAGAAUUGUUCACAGAAAGGUCCUUGAGGGACUGAUUCUUCAGGGAAAUGAGGAAGCGAUACAAGAUUGGAGCAGAGAGAUGAUUUUCAAAGAUCCCAGGGUCCAAGAACACCUUCUUAAAGUUCAUGGGGAAACACGAAACUACAGAGUCUAUGCAACUAUUGGAGGCACCAGCAUUGAGGUGGAUGCAAACCUCCGAAACAGCCUCUGGAGAAAAUGCCAAGUUUCCUUCUACCUUGGAUUUACCAUCAAAGGUCCUGUAGCCUUUGCCAUCCACACUAAAACUGCAGAAAAGGGUAAGAAGGGUAACGCACUGUAA